AUUGAACGCUGGCGGCAGGCUUAACACAUGCAAGUCGAGCGGUAACAGAGAGAAGCUUGCUUCUCUGCUGACGAGCGGCGGACGGGUGAGUAAUGCCUAGGAAUCUGCCUAGUAGUGGGGGAUAACCUGCCGAAAGGUAAGCUAAUACCGCAUACGUCCUACGGGAGAAAGGAGGGGACCUUCGGGCCUUUCGCUAUUAGAUGAGCCUAGGUCGGAUUAGUUAGUUGGUGAGGUAAUGGCUCACCAAGACCGCGAUCCGUAACUGGUCUGAGAGGAGGAUCAGUCACACUGGAACUGAGACACGGUCCAGACUCCUACGGGAGGCAGCAGUGGGGAAUAUUGGACAAUGGGGGGAACCCUGAUCCAGCCAUGCCGCGUGUGUGAAGAAGGUCUUAGGAUUGUAAAGCACUUUAAGUUGGGAGGAAGAGCAGUUAACUAAUAUUUGACUGUUUUGACGUUACCGACAGAAUAAGCACCGGCUAACUUCGUGCCAGCAGCCGCCGUAA
rnacentral:rRNA from 1 species